rnacentral:rRNA from 1 species
GAUGAACGCUGGCGGCGUGCCUAAUACAUGCGAGUCGAGCGAACGGACGAGAAGCUUGCUUCUCUGAUGUUAGCGGCGGACGGGUGAGUAACACGUGGAUAACCUACCUAUAAGACUGGGAUAACUUCGGGAAACCGUAGCUAAUACCGGAUAAUAUUUUGAACCGCAUGGUUCAAAAGUGAAAGACGGUCUUGCUGUCACUUAUAGAUGGAUCCGCGCUGCAUUAGCUAGUUGGUAAGGUAACGGCUUACCAAGGCAACGAUGCAUAGCCGACCUGAGAGAGUGAUCGGCCACCCUGGAACUGAGACACGGUCCAGACUCCUACGGGAGGCAGCAGUAGGGAAUCUUCCGCAAUGGGCGAAAGCCUGACGGAGCAACGCCGCGUGAGUGAUGAAGGUCUUCGGAUCGUAAAACUCUGUUAUUAGGGAAGAACAUAUGUGUAAGUAACUGUGCACAUCUUGACGGUACCUAAUCAGAAAGCCACGGCUAACUACGUG